UGGGGAAUUUUGGACAAUGGGGGAAACCCUGAUCCAGCCAUCCCGCGUGUGCGAUGAAGGCCUUCGGGUUGUAAAGCACUUUUGGCAGGAAAGAAACGUCGCGGGUUAAUACCCCGCGAAACUGACGGUACCUGCAGAAUAAGCACCGGCUAACUACGUGCCAGCAGCCGCGGUAAUACGUAGGGUGCAAGCGUUAAUCGGAAUUACUGGGCGUAAAGCGUGCGCAGGCGGUUCGGAAAGAAAGAUGUGAAAUCCCAGAGCUUAACUUUGGAACUGCAUUUUUAACUACCGGGCUAGAGUGUGUCAGAGGGAGGUGGAAUUCCGCGUGUAGCAGUGAAAUGCGUAGAUAUGCGGAGGAACACCGAUGGCGAAAGGCAGCCUCCUGGGAUAACACUGACGCUCAUGCACGAAAAGCGUGGGGAGCAAAACAGGAUUAGAUACCCUGGUAGUCCACGCCCUAAAACGAUGUCAACUAGCUGUUGGGGGCCUUCGGGCCUUGGUAGCGCAGCUAACGCGUGAAGUUGACCGCCUGGGGAGUACGGUCGCAAGAUUAAAAACUCAAAAAGG
rnacentral:rRNA from 1 species